CCUCUAUGUCCUGCGAACACUCAAGCAGCCCUGUGGAGAGUUCCACGUGGGAAGGAACUGAAGCUUCCCACCACCUGCUAGCACAAACCCUCCAGCCAUGUGAGUGUGCCACACUGGAAGCCAAUCUUCCAGUGCUAGUCAAGCUUUCAGAAGACUGCCGCCCUGGCCAAUAUCUCAUGUUGGUCUCAUGAGAGACCCCUAGCCAGAAUCAUCCAGCCAGGGGUGGCCAUAUGAUCCAGUCCUAGCCAAUGGUACAUAGGUACAGUUUGCGAGGGACUCCUAAGAAAACUUGCUGCCUUGCUAAGAAGAAGAGGAACACCUGUUACUACCCUUCUCCCUUCUGCCUGCCUGGAAGGCAUUGGUGACGCCUGAGUCCAAAGCAGCCAACCUGCAACCAGGAGAAGCGCUCUGCACAGAGGAGACCGUAUUUGCAAGUCAUCUAGGACUCAGCUCUCCCAGAGCAAACCCAUGGACUGGGAGACCCAACCCUUCUCCAACUUUCAGGAACCUUCUUUCCUACUCAAUAAAUUUGCUGCCGCUGUGGUGGAGUGGAAGUGAGGGUGGCAGGUUUAGGUCAUGUUGGUAAAAGGCUUCCUUAGCCAAAAUGCCCUCUGGGAGGGCUGUAGAGCCAGCCAUGAGGCUAAGGGAGAGGAAUCUCUUCCCCCAGCAGACUCUGCCCUAUGCUCUGUCCUCCUGGCUCCCAGGACCAGCAGUUCUCUGGUUGGAACACACAUUGGUAGGUCAUCUUCUAGCAUGCCUCCUACUUAG